rnacentral:snoRNA from 1 species
GAGUGAUGAGAUACUAGAUGACGAGUCUGAGCUCGUGUGCAAGAGUUUCUCUUGUACAUGUCGUUGACGACUCUUUCCUAAAUACCAUUCAUGCUUUCCUGAUU